rnacentral:rRNA from 1 species
GAGUUUGAUCAUGGCUCAGGAUGAACGCUGGCGGCGUGCUUAACACAUGCAAGUCGAACGAAGCGAUGUAUGGAAGAGACUUCGGUUUUGGAAAUAUAUUGACUUAGUGGCGGACGGGUGAGUAACGCGUGGGUAACCUGCCUUAUACAGGGGGAUAACAGAUAGAAAUAUUUGCUAAUACCGCAUAAGACCACAACAGCGCAUGCUGAAGGGGUAAAAGAUUUAUCGGUAUAAGAUGGACCCGCGUCUGAUUAGAUAGUUGGUGAGGUAACGGCUCACCAAGUCGACGAUCAGUAGCCGACCUGAGAGGGUGACCGGCCACAUUGGGACUGAGACACGGCCCAAACUCCUACGGGAGGCAGCAGUGGGGAAUAUUGGACAAUGGGGGAAACCCUGAUCCAGCGACGCCGCGUGAGUGAAGAAGUAUUUCGGUAUGUAAAGCUCUAUCAGCAGGGAAGAAAAUGACG